UACGGAGGAUGCAAGCGUUAUCCGGAAUGAUUGGGCGUAAAGCGUCCGCAGGUGGCUGUGUAAGUCUGCUGUUAAAGAGUGAGGCUCAACCUCAUAAAGGCAGUGGAAACUACAUGGCUAGAGUGCGUUCGGGGCAGAGGGAAUUCCUGGUGUAGCGGUGAAAUGCGUAGAUAUCUGGAGGAACACCGGUGGCGAAGGCGGCAUCCUGGACCGACACUGACGCUGAGGAGCGAAAGCCAGGGGAGCAAACGGG
rnacentral:rRNA from 1 species